UGCUUUUUGGCCAAGUCCCAUUGGUGGAAAUAGACGGGAUGCUGCUGACACAGACCAGAGCCAUCCUCAGCUACCUGGCUGCCAAGUACAACUUGUAUGGGAAGGACCUGAAGGAGAGAGUCAGGAUUGACAUGUAUACCGAUGGCACCCAGGACCUGAUGAUGAUGAUUAUCUGGGCUCCAUUUAAAGCCCCUCAGGAAAAAGAAGAGAGCUAUGCUUUAGCAGUGAAGAGGGCUAAAACCUGUUACUUCCCAGUGUUUGAAAAGAUUUUAAAAGACCACAGAGAGGCUUUUCUUGUUGGCAACCAACUCAGUUGGGCAGACAUACACUACUAGAAGCCAUUUUGAUGGUGGAAGAACUCAGUGCUCCUGUGCUGUCUGACUUCCCUCUGCUGCAGGCAUUUAAGACAAGAAUCAGCAACAUUCCUACAAUUAAGAAGUUCCUGCAACCUGGAAGUCAGAGGAAGCCACCUCCAGAUGGUCACUAUGUUGACGUGGUCAGGACUGUCCUGAAGUUCUAGUGACAGCAUGCUAGGUGGCUACUGCAAGGGUCCAAUCGCAGCAGCAGCUACAGAAAAAAAAAUUGAAACUUGUGAUAAGAUAGAAUUUUGAGAUGUCCUAACUGAAGUUA
rnacentral:lncRNA from 1 species